UACGUAGGGGGCAAGCGUUGUCCGGAUUUAUUGGGCGUAAAGAGCGUGUAGGCGGCCAGACAAGUCUGCUGUGAAAACUCGAGGCUCAACCUCGAGCUGUCGGUGGAAACUGUCUGGCUAGAGUCCGGAAGAGGAGAGUGGAAUUCCUGGUGUAGUGGUGAAAUGCGUAGAUAUCGGGAGGAACACCAGUGGCGAAGGCGACUACCUGGCCUGUUCUUGACGCUGAGGCGCGAAAGCUAGGGGAGCAAACGGG
rnacentral:rRNA from 1 species